UGAGAUGUUGGGUAAGUCCCGCAACGAGCGCAACCCCUGCCGUAGUUGCCAUCAUUCAGUUGGGCACUCUAACGGGACUGCCGACCCUUCAAGUCGGAAGAAGGUGGGGAUGACGUCAAGUCAUCAUGGCCCUUCGUCCAGGGCUACAAACGUGCUCAAUGGCCGGUCAAAGGGCUGCGAACCCGCGAGGGGGAGCCAAUCCCAAAAAGCCGACCUCAGUACGGAUAGGAGUCGCAACUCGACUCCUGAAGUCGGAAUCGCUGUAAUCGCUAUCAGCACGGCAGCGGUAAUACGUUCCCGGGCCUGUACACACCGCCCGUCACACCANGGGAGUCGAUUGCUCAGAAGUGGCUGCGCCAACCCGCAAGGGAGGCAGGCCCCCAAGGAGGAAUCGGAACUGGGGGAAGUGAUACAAGGAAAUCCCGCGGCC
rnacentral:rRNA from 1 species